rnacentral:lncRNA from 1 species
UCUGCCUUACAGCCCAUGCUCAGUACAUAUCCUAAUGAGGAAUUGGUCCCUGGCUGUCGUUGUCUCCACGCCCUUGAGUUGGACAAUGCUCCGUCCCAAGGAUGUGACAGAUUCUUUCAUUUAUGACUAUGCCACGCUCAGCCCAUCUAACCUCAAAUCUAACCUAAUCCUGGUGGCCCUCCCACCUUCCCAGCACACAGGAGCAAGCAGAGAACAUGGGCAGUCAAGUCAAAAGGAAAGGAUGGCCUACAGAUGCUGUUCUGUGAGGACAGUGUCCAAACCAGAAAGUCAAGAUGCCUCUUUGAGGAUCCGUCUGAAAACAAACAAAAUACGUGAAAUCCAGGAGAGCUGGAGUAGAAAACGCCGUGAAGGUAGCGUGGAGAGCAUCAGGGAGCAGCUGCUAUUUCAACACAGUGGGGACUUCGCACCUGGGCCUGAGGGAGCCUCACUGUUUCACUGAAUUUAUGUUCAUAUAUUUAUGAUAAUAAAUAUGUUCAUACACUUACGUUC